GCCCUGGUUAUCCCAGAUUGCCGUCUACCAGUCAGGCAGCUUUCAUUCACUGCAUGUCAGAGAUGCACUCUGUGUGAUUAAAAUUCUGGCCCCCGCCAUCACAUCCGUCCAGCGUCCUGUGUUUGCAUGACUGUAUAUCAAACUGAAAAUGAUAGACCACUGUUUAGGCACUGGCAUCUGUCUUCUUCAGAGGAAACCCCCUCUUUUGGGUUGGGAGGGGUCACUGCCGAAGGGGUGCCGUGCCAUUUUCACCCUCUUCCUGAAUUUUUCAUCCAUCCACUCUUUAAUAUUCAUAAUUUCAUAAUUUAUGUUGAACGUAGGGAUUUAGGGUCAUAAAACUCAGAAAAAUGUUUGCUCAAUAAACCCUCUCUUUGCUGUGAGAAGAUGGCAUCCUUUUACAGCCCGUGUCUGUAGUACUCAUCUAACGGCCCGUGUUGCUUCCUUUCCGCAAGAUCCCACCAUUUCUGUGCUUUUGUGGGAUUAAAACAGGAGCAUUUGAUAAUAACAGAUGACACUGGGCAUGUCAAUUUAACAUAACUCAGCAUGAACUGAUUUAUUUAAAUCAGCCUUUGUUUGUGCAUACAAGCCUGUGCUCACCCAGCUGUGUCCCCAUAAAAACUCCCUAACUCAGGAAGGACCCUGCGCUGGACUCAGUAUGUCAGGAACGAGAUCAUCUGACAAGGGUCAGAGCAUUCUGAGGACUACAUAGGGCAAGGAAGAGCCCAUGCUGAACAAUUAUAUACUUUAAAAGCCAGUCUAGGCCUUUCAGCGUCUCCAGCAUUCUUGCAAAUGGUUACAGAACCACAGGUUCCAUCAAACACGGACUAGGUCCCAGUUAGGUCCUUUAGGUCAACCUCCGCUCUAUCAUCAGUGCCCCCGGGUGUGCCUGAUACUCUCUCAGUGACCUGAAAAUUGAUGGACCGAUGACCUGGCCCCCUUCUGUGGCCCCGCACUCAUCUGGGGACCAGACAGUUCCAGACGCAGUGUCCACUGGAAUUCAUCUUGGGCAGACUACAGUCUGGCUUCCAGUUGUCAAAAGGGAUCAGAUUAAGAGUCUGACAUCACUUCUGUCAGCGAACGUUGCAGUGCAGCUUCUCGAGUUCUGCAGCAGUCGUGCAAGCUGCACAAAAACAGACACCUUGUGUAAUGCGAUAUCAGAAAGAGCGAAGGCAGUGUGCUGUCUGGCAGCGAGGAAGUGGACAAGAUGAGGUUCACUGGGCUUAGACCUCCGACGCGUCCCCCCAGCCCCGGAUCCGCGGUGUCCGUGGGCUUCAUCCCGAACGGGCUGACGUCACGGGCGAUCGAACGCCGCUGGGAAGGAGGCGCCCCGGCUCGAGCCGAAGGGGUGACCAUGAACAUUCUUCAUUGCCUCCCACACCAUCUGUCCACUGCGCCACAUAACCACAACCACAGGUGGAGAGGAACCUCUGGCUUUAGCUGUCCCACGCCAACCCACCAUCACCACCCCCCAUGGUUGAAGUGCC